rnacentral:rRNA from 1 species
UACGAAGGGUGCAAGCGUUAAUCGGAAUUACUGGGCGUAAAGGGUGCGUAGGCGGUUGUUUAAGUCUGUUGUGAAAUCCCCGGGCUCAACCUGGGAAUUGCAUUUGUGACUGCACGGCUAGAGUGUGUCAGAGGGGGGUAGAAUUCCACGUGUAGCAGUGAAAUGCGUAGAUAUGUGGAGGAAUACCGAUGGCGAAGGCAGCCCCCUGGGAUAACACUGACGCUCAUGCACGAAAGCGUGGGGAGCAAACAGG